UUCCCCUACGGGGGGCAGCAGUGAGGAAUAUUGGUCAAUGGGCGGGAGCCUGAACCAGCCAAGUCGCGUGAGGGAUGACGGCCCUAUGGGUUGUAAACCUCUUUUGCCGGGGAGCAAAGUGCCGCACGUGUGCGGUUUGGAGAGUACCCGGAGAAAAAGCAUCGGCUAACUCCGUGCCAGCAGCCGCGGUAAUACGGAGGAUGCGAGCGUUAUCCGGAUUUACUGGGUGUAAAGGGAGCGUAGACGGCAAUACAAGUCGGAAGUGAAAUACCCGGGCUCAACCUGGGAACUGCUUUGGAAACUGU
rnacentral:rRNA from 1 species